rnacentral:rRNA from 1 species
UGCCAGCCGCCGCGGUAAUACGGAGGGAGCGAGCGUUAAUCGGAAUUACUGGGCGUAAAGCGCGCGUAGGCGGCUUUGUAAGUCGGAUGUGAAAUCCCUGGGCUUAACCUGGGAACUGCAUUCGAUACUGCAUAACUAGAGUAUGGUAGAGGGAAGUGGAAUUUCCGGUGUAGCGGUGAAAUGCGUAGAUAUCGGAAGGAACACCAGUGGCGAAGGCGGCUUACUGGUCCGAUACUGACGCUGAGGUACGAAAGCGUGGGGAGCAAACAGGAUUAGAUA